rnacentral:rRNA from 1 species
GGGUAACGUGCCCUAAGGUGGGGGAUAAUCUCGGGAAACUGAGGAUAAUACCCCAUAGGUCUGAUAUGCUGGAAUGCUUUCAGGCCGAAAACUCCGGUGCCUUAGGAUUGGCCUGCGGUCUAUCAGGCUGUAGUGGGUGUAAUGGACCCACUAGCCCGUGACGGAUAUGGGCCUUGAGAGAGGGAGCCCAGAGAUGGACUCUGAGACAUGAGUCCAGGCCCUACGGGGCGCAGCAGUCGCGAAAACUUCGCAAUGGGGGCAACCCCGACGAGGGAAUUCCAAGUGCCAGCACUUUGUGUUGGCUGUUCUCCUGUCUAAAAAACAGGAGGAGUAAGGGGCGGGUAAGACGGGUGCCAGCCGCCGCGGUAAUACCCGCGCCCCUAGUGGUGGUCGAUAUUAUUGAGCCUAAAACGUCCGUAGCCGGUCUUCUAAAUCCUUGGGUAAAUCGGGCAGCUUAACUGUCCGAAGUCCGGGGAGACUGGGAGACUUGGGACCGGGAGAGGUCAGAGGUACUUCUGGGGUAGGGGUAAAAUCCUGUAAUCCCGGAAGGACCACCGGUGGCGAAGGCGUCUGACUAGAACGGAUCCGACGGUGAGGGACGAAGCCCUGGGGCGCAAACGGGAUUAGAUACCCCGGUAGUCCAGGGUGUAAACGCUGCGGGCUUGGUGUUGGGGGUCCUUAGUGGGCGCCCAGUGCCGGAGAGAAGUUGUUAAGCCUGCUGCUUGGGGAGUAUGUCCGCAAGGAUGAAACUUAA